GGGGUCUUUUAAAUGGAGACUCGUAUGAACGGCGUAACCUUCUUCAACUGUCUCCCCUCCCACCCCUCUAAAUUCUUUUCUGAGUGAAGAAACCCAGAUAAGCCAGAAAGACGAGAAGACCCUGUCGAGCUUUACCCAUUAGGUGAACUUAAACCCCUUUUAGACAUCACCCAAAGGUUUUGGUUGGGGCAACCAUGGAGAAAAUAAACCCUCCAGAGCAAAUAGAAGAAAAUAAUUCACUAUUACUCCUAACUGAGAACCAGGAACUGGGAUCCAGAAAAAGUUACCGCAGGGAUAACAGCGUAAUCCCCUCUAAGAGUCC
rnacentral:rRNA from 1 species